GAUGAACGCUGGCGGCGUGCCUAAUACAUGCAAGUCGAGCGAGCGGAGGACGGGUGAGUAAUGGUUGGGAAACUGCCUGAUGGAGGGGGAUAACUACUGGAAACGGUAGCUAAUACCGCAUACCAUCAGAUGUGCCCAGAGGGGAUUAGCUAGUAGGUGGGGUAAUGGCUCACAUAGGCGACGAUCCCUAGCUGGUCUGAGAGGAUGACCAGCCACACGGGAACUGAGACACGGUCCAGACGCCUACGGGAGGCAGCAGUGGGGAAUAUUGCACAAUGGGCGCAAGCCUGAUGCAGCCAUGCCGCGUGUGUGAAGAAGGCCUUCGGGUUGUAAAGCACUUUCAGCGAGGAGGCGUUACUCGCAGAAGAAGCACCGGCUAACUCCGUGCCAGCAGCCGCGGUAAUAC
rnacentral:rRNA from 1 species